rnacentral:rRNA from 1 species
AUACGUAGGUGGCAAGCGUUGUCCGGAAUUAUUGGGCGUAAAGCGCGCGCAGGCGGUCCUUUAAGUCUGAUGUGAAAGCCCACGGCUCAACCGUGGAGGGUCCUUGGUAAAUGGAGGACUUGAGUGCAGAAGAGGAAAAUGGAAUUCCCAGUGUAGCGGUGAAAUGCGUAGAGAUUUGGAGGAACACCAGUGGCGAAGGCGACUUUCUGUUCUGUAACAGAAGCUGAGGCGCGAAAGCGUGGGGAGCAAACAGGAUUUGAUACCCUGGGAGUCCACGCCGUAAACGAUGAGUGCUAAGUGUUAGGGGGUUUCCGCCCCUUAGUGCUGCAGCUAACGCAUUAAGCACUCCGCCUGGGGAGUACGGUCGCAAGACUGAAACUCAAAUGAAUUGACGGGG